rnacentral:rRNA from 1 species
UAGGGAAUCUUCGGCAAUGGACGAAAGUCUGACCGAGCAACGCCGCGUGAGUGAAGAAGGUUUUCGGAUCGUAAAACUCUGUUGUUAGAGAAGAACAAGGACGUUAGUAACUGAACGUCCCCUGACGGUAUCUAACCAGAAAGCCACGGCUAACUACGUGCCAGCAGCCGCGGUAAUACGUAGGUGGCAAGCGUUGUCCGGAUUUAUUGGGCGUAAAGCGAGCGCAGGCGGUUUCUUAAGUCUGAUGUGAAAGCCCCCGGCUCAACCGGGGAGGGUCAGUGGAAACUGGGAGACUUGAGUGCAGAAGAGGAGAGUGGAAUUCCAUGUGUAGCGGUGAAAUGCGUAGAUAUAUGGAGGAACACCAGUGGCGAAGGCGGCUCUCUGGUCUGUAACUGACGCUGAGGCUCGAAAGCGGGGGGAGCAAACAGG